rnacentral:rRNA from 1 species
GUGGGGAAUCUUCCGCAAUGGACGAAAGUCUGACGGAGCAACGCCGCGUGAGUGAUGAAGGUCUUCGGAUUGUAAAGCUCUGUUAAUCGGGACGAAAGAGCCUAGUGUGAAUAAUGCUAGGAAGUGACGGUACCGGAAUAGAAAGCCACGGCUAACUACGUGCCAGCAGCCGCGGUAAUACGUAGGUGGCAAGCGUUGUCCGGAAUUAUUGGGCGUAAAGCGCGCGCAGGCGGAUCUGCCAGUCUGGCUUAAAAGUUCGGGGCUUAACCCCGUGAUGGGAGGGAAACUAGAGGUCUAGAGUAUCGGAGAGGAAAGUGAAAUUCCUAGUGUAGCGGUGAAAUGCGUAGAUAUUAGGAAGAACACCAGUGGCGAAGGCGACUUUCUGGACGAAAACUGACGCUGAGGCGCGAAAGCCAGGGGAGCGAACGGGAUUAGAUACCCUUGUAGUCC